rnacentral:rRNA from 1 species
AACGAACGCUGGCGGCAUGCCUAAUACAUGCAAGUCGAACGAGAUCUUCGGAUCUAGUGGCGCACGGGUGCGUAACGCGUGGGAAUCUGCCCUUGGGUUCGGAAUAACGUCGGGAAACUGACGCUAAUACCGGACGAUGACGUAAGUCCAAAGAUUUAUCGCCCAAGGAUGAGCCCGCGUAGGAUUAGCUAGUUGGUAAGGUAAAGGCUUACCAAGGCGACGAUCCUUAGCUGGUCUGAGAGGAUGAUCAGCCACACUGGGACUGAGACACGGCCCAGACUCCUACGGGAGGCAGCAGUAGGGAAUAUUGGACAAUGGGCGCAAGCCUGAUCCAGCAAUGCCGCGUGAGUGAUGAAGGCCUUAGGGUUGUAAAGCUCUUUUACCCGGGAUGAUGAUGACAGUACCGGGAGAAUAAGCCCCGGCUAACUCCGUGCCAGCAGCCGCAGUAA